CGCAGUGCACAUCUUACACAUGUCAACAUCGUAGCGCGUAAGGCCAUAUUACAGGAGGGUACACGAGCGGCGAACGGGUGAGUAACACGUGGGUGACCUGCCCUCCACUCUGGGAUAAGCCCGGGAAACUGGGUCUAAUACCGGAUAGGACCACUGAUCGCAUGGUUGGUGGUGGAAAGUUUUUUCGGUGGGGGAUGGGCCCGCGGCCUAUCAGCUUGUUGGUGGGGUGAUGGCCUACCAAGGCGGUGACGGGUAGCCGGCCUGAGAGGGCGACCGGCCACACUGGGACUGAGACACGGCCCAGACUCCUACGGGAGGCAGCAGUGGGGAAUAUUGCGCAAUGGGCGGAAGCCUGACGCAGCGACGCCGCGUGGGGGAUGACGGCCUUCGGGUUGUAAACCUCUUUCGCCAGGGACGAAGAGCAAUUGACGGUACCUGGAGAAGAAGCACCGGCCAACUACGUGCCAGCAGCCGCGGUAACACGUAGGGUGCGAGCGUUGUCCGGAAUUAUUGGGCGUAAAGAGCUCGUAGGCGGUGUGUCGCGUCGGCCGUGAAAACUUGGGGCUUAACUCUGAGCGUGCGGUCGAUACGGGCAUCACUUGAGUUCGGCAGGGGAGACUGGAAUUCCUGGUGUAGCGGUGAAAUGCGCAGAUAUCAGGAGGAACACCGGUGGCGAAGGCGGGUCUCUGGGCCGAUACUGACGCUGAGGAGCGAAAGCGUGGGGAGCGAACAGGAUUAGAUACCCUGGUAGUCCACGCCGUAAACGUUGGGCGCUAGGUGUGGGGACCAUUCCACGGUUUCUGUGCCGCAGCUAACGCAUUAAGCGCCCCGCCUGGGGGAGUACGGCCGCAAGGCUAAAACUCAAAGGAAUUUGACGGGGGCCCGCACAAGCGGCGGAGCAUGUGGAUUAAUUCGAUGCAACGCGAAGAACCUUACCUGGGUUUGACAUGCACCAGACAUCCCUAGAGAUAGGGCUUCCCUUGUGGUUGGUGUGCAGGUGGUGCAUGGCUGUCGUCAGCUCGUGUCGUGAGAUGUUGGGUUAAGUCCCGCAACGAGCGCAACCCUUGUUCCAUGUUGCCAGCACGUAAUGGUGGGGACUCAUGGGAGACUGCCGGGGUCAACUCGGAGGAAGGUGGGGAUGACGUCAAGUCAUCAUGCCCCUUAUGUCCAGGGCUUCACACAUGCUACAAUGGCUCAUACAGAGGGCUGCGAGACCGUGAGGUGGAGCGAAUCCCUUAAAGUGAGUCUCAGUUCGGAUCGGGGUCUGCAACUCGACCCCGUGAAGUUGGAGUCGCUAGUAAUCGCAGAUCAGCAACGCUGCGGUGAAUACGUUCCCGGGCCUUGUACACACCGCCCGUCACGUCACGAAAGUUGGUAACACCCGAAGCCGGCGGCCCAACCCUUGUGGAGGGAGCUUCGAAGUGAUGCACU
rnacentral:rRNA from 1 species